CCUACACAUGCAAGUCGAGCGGUAGAGAAGGAGCUUGCUUCUUCUUGAGAGCGGCGGACGGGUGAGUAAUGCCUAGGAAUCUGCCUGGUAGUGGGGGACAACGUUUCGAAAGGAACGCUAAUACCGCAUACGUCCUACGGGAGAAAGUGGGGGAUCUUCGGACCUCACGCUAUCAGAUGAGCCUAGGUCGGAUUAGCUUGUAGGUGAGGUAAUGGCUCACCUAGGCAACGAUCCGUAACUGGUCUGAGAGGAUGAUCAGUCACACUGGAACUGAGACACGGUCCAGACUCCUACGGGAGGCAGCAGUGGGGAAUAUUGGACAAUGGGCGAAAGCCUGAUCCAGCCAUGCCGCGUGUGUGAAGAAGGUCUUCGGAUUGUAAAGCACUUUAAGUUGGGAGGAAGGGUUGUAGCUUAAUACGCUGCAACUUUGACGUUACCAACAGAAUAAGCACCGGCUAACUCUGUGCCAGCAGCCGCGGUAAUACAGAGGGUGCAAGCGUUAAUCGGAAUUACUGGGCGUAAAGCGCGCGUAGGCGGCUUGAUAAGAUGGGUGUGAAAUCCCCGGGCUUAACCUGGGAACUGCAUCCAUAACUGUCUGGCUAGAGUGCAGUAGAGGGUGGUGGAAUUUCCUGUGUAGCGGUGAAAUGCGUAGAUAUAGGAAGGAACACCAGUGGGCGAAGGCGACCACCUGGACUGACACUGACGCUGAGGGUGCGAAAGCGUGGGGAGCAAACAGGAUUAGAUACCCUG
rnacentral:rRNA from 1 species